rnacentral:misc_RNA from 1 species
GAAAUGCGAUAAGUAAUGUGAAUUGCAGAAUUCCGUGAAUCAUCGAAUCUUUGAACGCACAUUGCGCCCCCUGGCAUUCCGGGGGGCAUGCCUGUCCGAGCGUCAUUUCUUCCCUCAAGCACGGCUUGUGUGUUGGGUGUGGUCCCCCCGGGGACCUGCCCGAAAGGCAGCGGCGACGUCCGUCUGGUCCUCGAGCGUAUGGGGCUCUGUCACUCGCUCGGGAAGGACCUGCGGGGGUUGGUCACCACCAUAUUUCACCACGGUUGACCUCGGAUCAGGUAGGAGUUACCCGCUGAACUUAAGC